rnacentral:misc_RNA from 1 species
AAGUCGUAACAAGGUUUCCGUAGGUGAACCUGCGGAAGGAUCAUUCUCGAUUAAAUAGCGUAAGCUAUCAAUAUUCACAUUGUGCACUGUUACUGCGCCAUUUGGUGGCUGCAAAGCCACCGGGUGAUUUGCGCUUAUUGUUCAUCAUAUAUAUAUACUUGAAAAACCACAAAUUUAUACAAAAAAAUUUUAAAAUUACGACAACUUUUAGCAAUGGAUCUCUAGGCUCUC